rnacentral:rRNA from 1 species
GACGAACGCUGGCGGCGUGCUUAACACAUGCAAGUCGAACGGAAAGGCCCUGCUUUUGUGGGGUGCUCGAGUGGCGAACGGGUGAGUAACACGUGAGUAACCUGCCCUUGACUUUGGGAUAACUUCAGGAAACUGGGGCUAAUACCGGAUAGGAGCUCCUGCUGCAUGGUGGGGGUUGGAAAGUUUCGGCGGUUGGGGAUGGACUCGCGGCUUAUCAGCUUGUUGGUGGGGUAGUGGCUUACCAAGGCUUUGACGGGUAGCCGGCCUGAGAGGGUGACCGGCCACAUUGGGACUGAGAUACGGACCAGACUCCUACGGGAGGCAGCAGUGGGGAGUAUUGCACAAUGGGCGGAAGCCUGAUGCAGCAACGCCGCGUGCGGGAUGACGGCCUUCGGGUUGUAAACCGCUUUCGCCUGUGACGAAGCGUGAGUGACGGUAAUGGGUAAAGAAGCACCGGCUAACUACGUG